rnacentral:rRNA from 1 species
GACGAACGCUGGCGGCGCGCUUAACACAUGCAAGUCGAGCGAGAACCAGGACUUCGGUCCUGGGGACAGCGGCGAACGGGUGAGUAACACGUGGGUGACCUGCCCUUAGCUCUGGGAUAAGCCUGGGAAACUGGGUCUAAUACCGGAUAUGACUCCAUGACGCAUGUUGUGGGGUGGAAAGCCUUGUGCGGCUAGGGAUGGGCCCGCGGCCUAUCAGCUUGUUGGUGGGGUGAGGCCUACCAAGGCGACGACGGGUAGCCGGCCUGAGAGGGCGACCGGCCACACUGGGACUGAGACACGGCCCAGACUCCUACGGGAGGCAGCAGUGGGGAAUCUUGCGCAAUGGGCGAAAGCCUGACGCAGCGACGCCGCGUGAGGGAUGACGGCCU